rnacentral:rRNA from 1 species
AGCAGCCGCGGUAAUUCCAGCUCCAAUAGCGUAUAUUAAAGUUGUUGCAGUUAAAAAGCUCGUAGUUGAAUUUCGGGAUCAGUAGGUUGGUCAUGCCUCUGGUAUGUACUGGUCUCACUGGUUCCUCCUUCCUGAUGAACCGUAAUGCCAUUAAUUUGGUGUUGCGGGGAGACUGGACUGUUACUUUGAAAAAAUUAGAGUGUUUAAAGCAGGCUUACGCUUGAAUACAUUAGCAUGGAAUAAUGAAAUAGGACGUUCGAUCCUAUUUUGUUGGUUUCUAGGAUUGACGUAAUGAUUAAUAGGGAUAGUUGGGGGGCAUUAGUAUUCAAUUGUCAGAGGUGAAAAUUCUUGGAUUUAUUGAAGACUAACUACUGCGGAAGCAUUUGCCAAGGAUGUUUUCAUUAAUCAAGAACGAAAGUUAGGGGAUCGAAGACGAUCAGAUACCGUCGUAGUCUUAACAUAAACUAUGCCGACUAGGGAUCGGAUGAUGUUAAUUUUAUAAUGA